CACCAAUGUGAGCAAGCCUGAUUCAAUCUGUGGUAUUCAAUUUGAAUGGAACAAAAAGGCUGAGCAAGAGAGAAUUUGCUUUCUCUACCUUAUGGUCUUUGAGCUGGGACAUUGGGCUUCUGUCUUUGGACAUUGACUGGAACUUACAUGAUCAGCUCUAUUGGUUCUCAAGUUUUCAGACUGCAGAUUUGGGGAAUUCUCAGCCUCUAUAAUUGUGUGAGCCAAUUCCUUAUAAUAAUCUCCCCUUUAUAUAUCUACAUCUAUUAUUUAUUUAUUUAUUUAUUGCUACUAGCAGGAUCAACCAGGUAAAUAUCUAUCUAUGUAUCUAUGUAUCUAUCUAUCCACCUAUCUAUUCAUCCAUCUACCUUAUUGUUCCUGUUUCUUUGCAGAAUCCUAAUAUUUGCAUUAAUGAUAAGAUGUUUUGUUUUAGUUUUCUUCUCCUUGUGUAAUUGCAUAAUUCAUUUUCUCCAAGUUUCUUUUUUCUAUUUGCACAUUUUAGUUUCUAGUGAUUCAUGUUAGUUUUCCUCAGAUGCCGCAGGUGAUCCUUGGUAGUUUGCUCCUAUUUAAGCUGAUUGGAAGCUUUGACAGUGCAAGGAAGGAUUUAUAGAGUGUUGCAGUUGGAUGGUUUCAUUGGAGGAACUCUUGAGGUCUAUACCUUUAUGUCUUUACUUGUCAGUUGAUCGGAUUCCUCAGAUGUGUGUCCUUUCCCAACUCUGUCUGGAAGGGUGCAAGCCAGGCUGCCAAUGUUCUAGGAGCAGAGGCGGAAGAAGGCAAGAGUUUCUGCCUCUAGUGCUUAUACCUAAUCCUGUUUUUCCUUCCUUCCUUCCUUCCUUCCUUCCCUUCCUUUAUUUCUUCCUUCUUCCUUCCUUCCUUCCUUCCUCCCUCCCUUCCUUCCUCCCUCCUCCUCCCUCCCUCCCCCUUCCUUCCUUCCUUCCUUCCUUCCUUCCCUUCCUUCCCUUCUUUCGCUGCUUCUUCCUUCCCUUCCCUCCCUCCCUCCUUCCUUCUCUCUCUCUCUCUCUGUCUGUCCUGUCUCUCUCUCUCUUUCUUUCUUUCUUCCUCUUUCUUUCUUUCUCAUGGAGUCUCUGUUGCCCAGGCUGGAGUGCAGUGGCACGAUCUUGGCUCACUGCAACCUCUGCCUCCCAGGUUCAAGUGAUUCUUCCGGGAGGCGGAGCUUGCAGUGAGCUGAGAUCCGGCCACUGCACUCCAGCCCGGGCGACAGAGCGAGACUCCGUCUCAAAAAAAAAAAAAAAAAAAAAAAAAAAGUGAAAGGCUAUUAAUUUCCUAGACUCCUUUAGAGCUGGAGUUCUGAGUCCAUCAAGGAAACUCACUUGGGGGUUUGGAAGGCAGAAACAAGGUGGGGGCCACAGGUCUGCUAUUCUCUGUCAUUCUCCUGGCAGGUACGCAUGUGAAGACAAUGGAGUUCUGUGACAGAAGUGGGAAGAGUCCCACUGUCUGGUUCUUAGCUUUGUGGGUGUCAGGAACGAUGUGAUCCUAGUAUUUCCUGAUUCUCCAACUUAUUGUAGUGACAGAAGCAGCAGCUCCCUCAUGGGCCACUUCUGCCAUCUUGUUCUGGGGAGUCAUUCUUGGAAGGUCACCCUAGGGCUCUUCCUACAGCACCUAAAACAUUUUUUUAAGUACAUAAUUCUCUUGUCAAGGGAUCAUGUGGUUAAAUUAGCCCUAGUGGUUUCUGCAACUGAACCCUGAUGGAUAGACCCUAGAAACACGCCUUCCUCUCACAUCUCCAUGCUCUCUCAACCCAGGCUGGUGACUGUAAUGCUAGCUGGAAAAUUCUGCCUUUGAAUCCUGUAGAUGCUUAUCAACAUUGGGAACAUAUAACCCAGUGCAGGACAUGCUCAACCACUUAUAGAUCUGACAAUAUACUUAGAAGUUUUCGGCCGGGCACGGUGGCUCACGCCUGUAAUCCCAGCACUUUGGGAGGCCGAGGCGGGCGGAUCACAAGGUCAGGAGAUCGAGACCACGGUGAAACCCCGUCUCUACUAAAAAUACAAAAAAUUAGCCAGUCACGGUAGUGGGUGCCUGUAGUCCCAGCUACUCAGGAGGCUGAGGCAGGAUAAUGGCAUGAACCCGGGAGGCGAAGCUGGCAGUGAGCCAAGAUCGCGCCACUGCACUCCAGCCUGGGGGACACAGCAAGACUCCGUCUCAAAAAAAAAAAAAAAAAAAAGAAGUUUUCUCCUGGUAAAAAGCUUUGACUGUGUGGAAAAAAAUAAAGAAACAAAAAAGACUACGGGUGUAGUGGGCACCUUUUUAGAGGAGUUGCCACCACAGGAGAGAACCAGGUACUGAGCCGGAAGAGAAAUGUUGCUACCUCUCUGCUUUUACCCCACACCUUCCCCUGAUGACGAUGGCGUUUGGUUUUAGAGCAGAGUGGCACCAUCAGGGAAACCAAGUAACCGGGAAAGUGGAUGGAAAAGUCACUCAUCCCAACCAUCCUCCUUGCCUGAAUCUGCAGCCAUGAUGCAAAUUUUCCAAAAUGCUCUGUUUAGCAAGAGUUGGCUGGAAGUUCUAAAGAAAAAAAAAAACCCUAAUAGUAUUUUUGUUCUCAUCCUAAGUGUUCUUGCAGGGGAAGUAUUUUUUUUUAAUUUAAAAAUAAAAUGUAGUUAUUUUUAUUUAAGACAAUUCCCCAUCUUGAACACAUUUACAUUUUUUUCUUUCCCCAUUUACAGCCUAUUUCCUGAAAAAUGUUGAGAAGAUUUAAGUGUCUAAUAUUUUCCAAGGCCAUCUCAUGAUUCAUCAGUUUAUUGUUUGUUAAGUAUCAGACUCAAGAAACUGACUUAGAUGGGAAUGUUGGUCUGGAUUUUCUCCUCUGAUUUACUUCACAGAUGACGGGAGAAUGAAUUAAAAGAUUAAAAAGUCAACAUUUUGCUGAGUCCUUUGAAUAACAAAGAGGUCCUGUAAGAACCAAAUGAAGCUAAAUAGGCAAUCUUUGUCCUAUGAUACAGCAUCAAAUAUUAACAGAAUUUGUGACGGGAGGGAGGGGGCGGGCUCGGUAGCUCAUGCUUGUAAUCCCAGCACUUUGGGAGGCCAAGGUGGAUGGAUCACGUGACGUUGGGAGUUCACGACCAGCCUGACCAACAUGGAAAAACCCUGUCUCUACUAAAAAUACAAUAUUGGCAGGGCGUGGUGACGCAUGCCUGUAAUCGCAGCUACUUGGGAGGCCGAGGCAGGAGAAUUGCUUGAACCUAGGAGGCAGAGGUCGCAGUGAACUGAGAUCGAGCCAUUGUACUCCAGCCUGGGCAAUAAGAGUGAAACUCCAUCUCAAAAAAGAAAAAAAAAAAGGAUUUGUGACCAAAAGGGCCUUGGACCUGUCACCUAAUUUCACAGAAGAAGAAACUGAGCCCUAAAGAAGGGAAAUGACUAACUCAGGAUCGCCAGUGACCAGUGGCAGAGCUGGGAGUAGAAUUCAGAUCUCCUGAGAUUCACCCUCUGGUGCUUUCUCUCCUGUCUUGCUUAUUUUCAUAUGUACCCUUUUUUAUCACACUUCCCUUUCCUGCUUCCCAGGCUUUUGAUCACACUUCUACUUUCCUGCUUUUCAGCCUGAGUAUGUCUACUUAUGAGAAAUACAGAGAUCAUUUAAGGAACUGCGAAUUUCCUUCUCACUUCGAGCUCCAUCGAAGUCAGGACUCCCAUUCACAUGGGACAGAUGAGAAAGAAAAAAGUUCAGAGGGGAGUUUCACUUGCCAGAGUCCACACAGCUACGGUUAGACCUCAGACCUCCUGAACAACAAAGCCGACGUCCGUCCCAACACAUUAAAAUAGGUGGGCUGGUACAUUACAUGAAUGUACUGUUCUUUUGUUUAAAGAAGUGUAUGGGAAUCAGAAUUUGGUCUAAUUAAAGGCCAUUGGGGGUGGAUUAAUGAAGUACAAAAAGGGCCUCAUUAAAAGAAGCUGUCCUCUAAAAGGCAAGCCAAUGGCAGUUACCUUUCCAAAGUGAACAUUAGAAAGUGGUUCCUGUGUAAUUUUCCAAUCAUUUAACUUAAAGAUUCCUAUCUAUAGAUACAUGAGGGUCUGCAUGUACUUUUGUGAUGGCCUGAACCAAGGUUGACUUGAGCAAAAAAGCUGCUCAAGGCCAGUGAUCAUGGUUUAAAUUAUGAAAGUAAUAUAAGCACAUUACAGAUCUUUGGAAAGUUCAGGAAGGAAAAAUAUGUACCCAUGGUUCUACCAUCCAGCAUGGUAUUGUUAAUUAUUUUGUACAUUCCCUUUCUGUCUUUUUACCAGAAGUAUCUUUACAUAGUUUUAAAUGGUCUUCCUCUAAUUUUCAUAGCAUACUAUGACCUUGUAUUACACUUUCCCCUGUGACAUUAGAUCAUAAACAUUUUUCUCAUACAUUUUGUCUUCACGAGCAUCACAUCUAAUGGCUGCAAAAA
rnacentral:lncRNA from 1 species